GUAGGUGGCAAGCGUUGUCCGGAAUUAUUGGGCGUAAAGCGCGCGCAGGCGGUUUUUUAAGUCUGAUGUGAAAGCCCACGGCUCAACCGUGGAGGGUCAUUGGAAACUGGAGAACUUGAGUACAGAAGAGGAAAGCGGAAUUCCACGUGUAGCGGUGAAAUGCGUAGAGAUGUGGAGGAACACCAGUGGCGAAGGCGGCUUUCUGGUCUGUAACUGACGCUGAGGCGCGAAAGCGUGGGGAGCAAACAGGGAUUAGAUACCCUGGUAGUCCACGCCGUAAACGAUGAGUGCUAAGUGUUAGGGGGUUUCCCGCCCCUUAGUGCUGCAGCUAACGCAUUAAGCACUCCGCCUGGGGAGUACGCCGCAAGGCUG
rnacentral:rRNA from 1 species